rnacentral:lncRNA from 1 species
GCCUGCGCUUUGCGAGGUUCCUGGCUAGGGAGGCGGCCUUGGCUGGCUUGACCGUCAUCCUUGAGGCCUGCGGGGCAACGGUGGCUGUCCUUGGCCCGGCUUUGGAAUGUGGCUUUGCAGGGCUGGUGUUGGCGCCAUUCUCGCAGGCCCACGUGCUCCUGCUCUUCCAGGGUGUCCUCGGCUGUUUCUCCUGCCGCGGCGCAGCAGCGCUCCCAGGCUGCCCCCGCGAUAACACGCCCCUGGCAGCCAGGCUCCCAGCUCUGUUACGUGCCCGGGCGGGGAAGAGCUUCCUGGUGUCUCCCGGCUCCUGCCCUUCUCCCGCCCCAGGGGCGGGCUGCCGCCGCCCUCUGCAGCUGAGUCAGUGCAGUUCCUCACCUACCUUCUCUGCUCACCGCUGUGUGCUAGCAAUCGGAGGACCCUUGGCACACGGAGCGACAGGGGCCUCCCCCACAGACACCUCAUUUUGGGAAAGAAGCUGUACAGGAGGCAUGGCUGGGGAGGCCUCAGAAAACUUACAAUCAUGGCAGAAGGUGAAGGGGAAGCCAGCACAUCUUCAUAUGAUGGCAGGAACUUUAUAUGUUAUAGAAGUUAGCCCCAAGAAUGAAAUCGUGUCCUUUGCCAAAACAUGGAUGGAGCUAGAGGCCUUUAUCCUAAGAGAUAGGAUGGAGUGUCACCAAGAUAGAAGACAAAAACAUAAGCUGUGAAAUGUGAUUAUAAAGUAGUGACAUGAGUGCCAGAAACCACGGAGGAAACGUCUCCUUGUUCUGGAUCCACACUUCAUACGUGGUCAUUGAAACGUGGCAUCAAACGGGAGGAAUGUGAUGGGCCAGGUUAGGGGAAGAGCACCAAGCAGGGCCUUUCCCUGGGAGAUGGCACCACGUGACAUGCUUCAUACGGAAGCACAUGGGCCCUCAGCGCUGGUAUCUUGCUUCACCUGGGGAUGGUGAUGAAAUGAUGCAGAGCUGACUCAAUACGAUACAGAGCUGACUCAAUACGAUGUGUGGGAUCUUCCAUCGUGAAGCAGCUGGGAGCACCAGGAGGCAGGUUUUCCCGUGCUUAUGGAAAGCACCACAUUGUUCUGCUGGGGACAUGUUCUUUUACUCCAAGGAGUAGUGGAUGUGCAAUGGGCUGUCCUGCCCGUAGAGAUGUGUGGGGCUGGCUGCUGAGAACAGAUGGCAACUGGCUGGCUCUGAUGCCUCAGAAGAGGUGAAUGCAUUCGGAGAGGCCACAGCUGAGAGUCCCUCAAACUGGGGAGUUAUUAUUCUAAAAGUUGGAUUUUUAGCAAGAUUUUACCAGGUGAGGCUGAUUAAAUGAUGGUGGCAGGGGCGGGGAGAAAAACAAAUAAAAGUGAGUUGAAGUCAACCUCUCCA